GAUGAACGCUGGCGGCAUGCCUAAUACAUGCAAGUCGAACGAGAGGAAAAGAAGCUUGCUUCUUUGAAUCUAGUGGCGAACGGGUGAGUAACACGUAGGUAACCUGCCCAUGUGCCCGGGAUAACUUCUGGAAACGGAUGCUAAAACCGGAUAGGUAGCAGACAAGCAUUUGACUGCUAUUAAAGUGGCCUUGGCCAUGAACAUGGAUGGACCUGCGGUGCAUUAGCUAGUUGGUGAGGUAACGGCCCACCAAGGCGACGAUGCAUAGCCGGCCUGAGAGGGCGGACGGCCACAUUGGGACUGAGACACGGCCCAAACUCCUACGGGAGGCAGCAGUAGGGAAUUUUCGUCAAUGGGGGGAACCCUGAACGAGCAAUGCCGCGUGAGUGAGGAAGGUCUUCGGAUCGUAAAGCUCUGUUGUAAGAGAAAAACGGCACUCAUAGGGAAUGAUGAGUGAGUGAUGGUAUCUUACCAGAAAGUCACGGCUAACUACGUGCCAGCCGCCGCGGUAA
rnacentral:rRNA from 1 species